rnacentral:lncRNA from 1 species
UAAUAUUUUAAUUCUGAGUAGUUUUUCCCCCGAGUAGGUAAAAAACCACUAGCAUUAUUUCAAAUCUGAUUGUAAUGAAGUUAGCUGUGACUGACUCACCUUUCACUGCUCACCUCUAAUUUCAGACCUUGGAUGCUGCGCCUUUCCCUGGAUGCUCGUUCUCCUCACAGAAUCCAAAUAUUUUGAGGCUUGGACUCCAGCAAAGUUCACAGAUGUGAAAAGAGAAUCAAUAGAGAAUUCCCUUGGAAGGCCGCCCCUCCUUUCUCCCCACUCUCUGCCUGGAAACCCAAUGGAUCUGUUAGAAGAUUAAGGGAGACUUUUGCAUCUGGAAAAGAGCCAUCAGCACUAAGUAAAUAAAUCAGCAUGGUUGUGCUCUGAUAAAGCUUUAUUUAAAAGAGGAAGCAACUAGCCAUAGUGCCAUAGUUUCAGAACUCUCCUGUAUUCCAAAUCUUCAAAGUCUUGGGAAUUCUGCUUCAUACCACAAAAUCAACACUUCACAGAUUAAUACAGAAACUG